UCCUUUUAAUCCCUACCUGUAAUCUCUCACCAAAUCAGGAAAGGCAUUUAAAUUUCCCUAUAAUCUCUCCCUGUAAUCUCUCAUCUCUCACGUCAGUAAAGAAAAAGGAAUCAAAUAUAAUUACAACUUGAUUACUGUUUCCAAAACUACAAAUUGAUUGAUUACAGUAUGUAAACCUAAUAAUCUCUGUAAAGAGUUCCAGAGUUCCAGAGUUCCAUCGGAGGUUUGUUGUGAAAAAGCUCCACCACCGCCAAUACAUGAUUUACUUUUAGUUCUACGUUCGAUUUUAAGUUGGGUGUUAAAUUCAGCACGGCAUACAAUAACCAAAGACAUAAGGUUUUACAUUCAGUUUAACGUUUUUAAGCUCAUCAUAUUUUAACAAUAACCAACGACACAAGGGAUAUUAUGAUAGAGUCAGUAACUAGGCAAUUGAGUUAUAUCAAAGAUAUUUUCGGUUAUUAUGACCCACUGCAGUGUCCUCUACUGUUUCCUUAUGGUUCUUACGACUGUGAUUUAAACAAUUGAAGUUCGAUUGGUAAUAAGUUGGCAUGCCGGGAAUUCCAUGCAUACACGUUUCAGACGCGACAAAAUCUGAAUUCUCCAACCUUGAGAGCCGGUCGUCUACUCCAACAAUUUGUUGUCGAUAACCGUGUCAAAAUGCAAGUCAAUAAUUUGAGGUGGAUCGCACUCAACCAAGAUAAGAUACGUGCUUAUUUAUAUAAGGGUUUAGAGGAUUCUUUAAAUGUUGGAGAGCAUAACUGAGAUUCUGAUUUUUUAUUGAGAUAUGUUAGUUGCACCGAAAAUAAUAUUAACUUUAAUUCAUACUUUCGCACGUAUCGCGUGCAUAUAAGACUGGAGGUGAUAAUGUUGCGUAUGUUCUUUAUAUUGUGAUAAUAUAUUUUUUUCCUUAACUUUUCAACCAUGAAUUUGUGAUGGAUUCUUCCAAUAGGUAUUAAACCAUUGGAUAAAAAUAUUUUCUAAACAAAAAUAUAGAGAUAGUCAUUAUUCUACGAUAAUAAAUAUUGAUUUGUUAAUGUUGGUUUACAUGCACUCUAAAAUUCACGCACGCAUCGCGUGCAUAAAAUACUAGUAGAUACUAGAUUUAAAGCCCGUGCGAUGCACGGGUUAUUUUUUUUAUGAGAUUAUUUUUCCAACUCUAAGCAAUAGUUAGAACAAUGAUUUUUUUUAUAACCAAUGAGUUUUAACGGGUCUUUAUUUAUCUAUUAAAAAAAGUUUAAAAUUCAUCUCUUUUUAUAUUUUACCGGGUCUUUAUUUAUCUAUUUUAUUUUUCUCUUAUUAUCUUUUACUGAAUUUUAUUUACAUUUAUCUCUUAUUAUCUUUUACCGGGUUUUUAAUUAUUUACUUUUAUUUUUCCCUUAUUAUCUUUUACUGAUUUUUAUUUAUCUUUAUCUCUUAUUAUCUUUUACAGGGUUUUUAUUUAUCUAUUUUUAUUUUUCUCUUAUUAUAUUUUAUUGAGUUUUAUUUAUCUUUAUCUCUUAUUAUCUUUUACCGGGAUUUUAUUUAUCCAUUUUUAUUUUUUAAUAAAUCUAAAAUAAUUUUAUUGUUUGAUGACAUGAAAAUCCUAUGUGGCGUUCCGAAUGCUCUCCAAAUAUAUAUAUAUAUUAGAUUAGAUUAGUGCGUGAUUGUGGAGGAAUUUAUUUUAGAUUUAUUUUAAUUAUUAGAGUAUUUGAUUUUGGAUAGAGCUGCAUAUAUUAGUAAUUAAUUAAUUAAAAUAUCUAUGUGACACUUAAUUAUUUAUCUACGUGGCACUGAACCUUUUCAAUUCAAAAAUAAUUUAGAAAUCUUAUUUUUCAUUGGCCGAAGCCAUUAGAUUUUCUACGUGGCUCUCUAAUACUACCUCUGUUCCAUAAUGUUAUGUACACUUUGGAAUAUGUGUCCAAAGUAUGAAAACUUUGACCGUGGAUUCCCAAAGUUAUAUACAUCAAAAUGACAUCAUGUAAGAUCUUGUUAUAUUGGUCUCGUUAUGUAUUUUAAAAAUAUCAAAUUUUUAUAAUUUUUUCACAUACGGAAAUGGAUAUAUAAGUCGUUGAAUAUUGCAUUGGAGUCCGUGCAAAUAGUAAGCGUAAAGAACAUUAAGGAACGGAGGUAGUAUUAGAUUAGCUAGUGUUUGAUUCUGGAUGGAAUUUUUAUUUUAGAUUAGUACGUGUUUGAUUUUGGAUCGAAUUUUAUUUUAAAUUUAUUUUUACUUAUUAGAGUGUUUGAUUUUGGAUGGAGUUCUAUAUAUUAGUAAUUAAUUAAAUAAAAUAUCUAUGUGACACCAAAUUAAUUAUCUACUUGGCAAACGACUUGCUAAUUCAAAAAUAAAUUUGAAAUCUUAUUUUUCAUUGGGCGAAACUAGGGGUGAGCAAAAAAUCCGCGCACCCGGUAUCGGUACCGGUCCCGGUCCCGGAUCGUAAGGAACCGGCAGGUCCAAAUCUGGAAACGGCACUGGUGGUACUGAUUCUGGAUCCAUAUCCAAAAUUUAGGAUCCGGCAAUAACCAGUUCGGUUCCGGUUGUUGAGAUUUUGGACUGGAUACCCGAUAUCACCGGAUGUCCUGAUCUAAAUCUUGAUAUUCUAUUCCAAUUUGAUAAGCAACUAUGAAAAUUGUCAACAAAUAUAUUAUUGUACUCCGUACUAUUUAAGCCAAGCCAUCUUGUGUCCAAUAUUUAGAUAUGUAAACAUUACAAACCCUCUUGUAAAUACAGAAAAAUAAACUCACCAACCCUAAAUUAAAUUUGCCUUAUACGCAUCCACCUACUCAUCUUCAACGCCUCGAUCACCUUUUACGCACACAGGCACAGCUUGAGCACCAACUUAAAAUUCUUGAUAUUCAAUCUUACCUUCUCAAGAUUCGUACGAAAUAUGUUGUUGGCUUUUAAUAAUUUUGGAAAUUAAGGUGAGGAGAUGAAAUGGAAUUUUGUUGAGAUUUUGAUAUCCUAACACUUUAAAACACACAAACUUCAUAUUACUAUUGCAGCAAUAGUGUGCUGCCAAUUUUACCCACAUCCAUCUCCAUUUACUACUCCUUUGCCAUUACAUCCCGAUCGUGACACAUUGCACCCUCAUCCACCGCCCUUAUUUUUCCACUUCUCCCUCUUCCGUCUUCAAUUCUUCGGUGCUUCCCUUCCUCAUUUUUUUUGGGUUUUCCUUCUCUCCUUUCUCAGGGCCCGGUGGCUCCAGGCGCAUGCGUCAUGUUCAAGAGUUGUAUCAUGAUAACCUAAUGCCACCUACACAACCACUUCAUGUAUCCACAUCGGACAUGCAUUUUUAACAUAUGUCAUGUAUUUCUAUUUGUAAUCCACCCCUUAUGUAAAGUGCCUAUUCCUUUGAAAUCCACAGUGUGGUCGGCACUUUGGGCUCCUGUGCCUCUGGACCAGAACCAUCCCGAAAUACACGGAAAGAGAGGCAGCUGAUAAGGAAACAAAGCUCAAGAAUUACUAAAAAUGGAAUCCUGAGCUAGGAGAUACGGUCUUCCGAACCUGACAGUUGUUGCUGCCAACGUGUUGUUGUCGUUGCCCCUCUUCCUUGUUACUUCUCACUUCCCCAACUUCUUCGUUGUAUUGUUGGCUUCUAAAGGACAAGUUCAAGAUAAAAUAUGCAGUCAAGAUUAUGAGUUAGCAUUGGAGAUUAAACUAUGGGAUGUGUUCUGGAAGAUUGAAUUCGGAUUAAAGCGAUCGAUGGUGAUCGAAAAAUGAGAUUCUUGGAGGUUAAGUGUGACGAUUGAAGGGACAUGUCCUAAAAGUCUUGCAAGCAUGUGUGAAAAGGUGGAUGACGACCCCUAAAAGCUUGGAGGCAGCGGUUCUUCAACCUGUCUCUAUUCGUGUUCUCUUCCCCGGUUUAUAUAUAUGUUUAAAAGCUAAAAUGUGUUUGAUUAUGCUAAAAGUAGCAAAUAUUGUGAAACUUGGCAAUGUGUGUGAUUUGAAAUGUAAACGAUUUGCUAGAAAAAGCAAAUAUCUCUUAAAUCUGUGCUUUGGUGCAAGCUUUGGAUUAUUAAGGAUUUCUAAGAAAUACA